GCCCACCUAGCUCAGUUAGUAGAGCACAAAGCUCUUAACCUUCUGGUUGUGGGUUCAAGCCCCAUAAUGGGUG
rnacentral:tRNA from 1 species